rnacentral:lncRNA from 1 species
UAAAAAUAUAUAUAUAACUAAAUAAAUAUAACUAUAGAUUAUAAUUAGUAAAAUUAGAAAUAGAGAUAUUAUAACUGAACUAAAAAAUAUAAGAAGUAUCUACUAAAAUUAAAAAUAUAUAAGUAUAUACUCGGUAACAAUAUAACUUGAAGUAACAGUAUAUAUAAAAUUCACAAACAAAACUAAAAAAACGAAAAGUUUAUAUACAUGGAAAAAAACAAAAAAAACAAAAAAAAAACUAAGAAAACGAAAAGUAUAUAUAUGUAUACUCAACCGAACGUAAUAUAUAUAGAUAAAUUAAAAAGUAGAUAAACUUAAAAAGUGAAAGUACACUUAUAUAUAUAAAAUUAAAAACAAAUUUAAUAAAUAACUAAUAACAUAAACCAUAUAUAUGAGACACACAUGACAUAUAAAGCUAAUACCAUAAACAGUAUAUAUAUCAGCUAAAUUAAAAAAUAUAUAUAUAAAUCAAAAGCUAAAAGCAUAUGCAUAUAUAAAAAAGUAUAUAAAAAAAUGUAAGAAAAAGAAGGUUAGUGAUAUAUGGAGUUUAUAGUGUUGAAUUCAGAGUGUAUCAUAGAGUAUGCAGUAAAUGAAGAUAAAGUCAAUGAUGGAAGGUUUGAGUGUUUUUUUUUGAGAAAGUUUGGAGAUUAAAUUGAAAUUCCGGGACUACAGUAUCGAGAAGAAAGUGGUGAUGUUAAAAGAACUAAAAUUCUCUUCUUCCUCAAAUUUUUUCCUCUUGUUUCUUUGUUAGUUUUUUUCUAAUUUUUUGAUCUAAAAAAAAACUGAGAGAGAUGGCUUGUGGUAGUUGCCGCUGAGCAUUGGUGAU